rnacentral:rRNA from 1 species
CAAGUAGGCGGAAUGGUAAGUCAGAUGUUAAAGGCACCGGCUCAACCGGUGUACGGCACUUGAUACUGUUAUUCUAGAGUAAGGUGGGGGAAGAUGGAAUUCCUGGUGUAGCGGUGGAAUGCGCAGAUAUCAGGAAGAACACCAGAGGCGAAGGCGAUCUUCUAUACCAUUACUGACGCUAAAUUGCGAAGGUGUGGGUAUCAAACA